rnacentral:sRNA from 1 species
ACAACCGCAAAAUCGGUUGUCGGGAUUGGCGUCCCGGAUAACAUCACAACGCAUAGCCGCGUUUGCGGUUUUUUU